AUGCAGUCGAGCGGAACGAUCCUAGCUUGCUAGGAGGCGUCGAAGCGGCGGACGGGUGAGUAAUGCAUAGGAAUCUGCCCGAUAGUGGGGGAUAACCUGAGGAAACUCAGGCUAAUACCGCAUACGUCCUACGGGAGAAAGCAGGGGCUCUUCGGACCUUGCGCUAUCGGAUGAGCUUAUGUCGGAUUAGCUAGUUGGUGAGGUAACGGCUCACCAAGGCGACGAUCCGUAGCUGGUCUGAGAGGAUGAUCAGCCACAUCGGGACUGAGACACGGCCCGAACUCCUACGGGAGGCAGCAGUGGGGAAUAUUGGACAAUGGGGGCAACCCUGAUCCAGCCAUGCCGCGUGUGUGAAGAAGGCCCUCGGGUUGUAAAGCACUUUCAGCGAGGAAGAAGGCUUGUCGGUUAAUACCCGGCAAGGGAGACAUCACUCGCAGAAGAAGCACCGGCUAACUCCGUGCCAGCAGCCGCGGUAAUACGGAGGGUGCGAGCGUUAAUCGGAAUUACUGGGCGUAAAGCGUGCGUAGGCGGCUUGAUAAGCCGGUUGUGAAAGCCCCGGGCUCAACCUGGGAACGGCAUCCGGAACUGUCAGGCUAGAGUGCAGGAGAGGAAGGUAGAAUUCCCGGUGUAGCGGUGAAAUGCGUAGAGAUCGGGAGGAAUACCAGUGGCGAAGGCGGCCUUCUGGACUGACACUGACGCUGAGGUACGAAAGCGUGGGUAGCAAACAGGAUUAGAUACCCUGGUAGUCCACGCCGUAAACGAUGUCGACUAGCCGUUGGGGUCCUCGAGACCUUUGUGGCGCAGUUAACGCACUAAGUCGACCGCCUGGGGAGUACGGGCCGCAAGGUUAAAACUCAAAUGAAUUGACGGGGGCCCGCACAAGCGGUGGAGCAUGUGGUUUAAUUCGAUGCACGCGAGACCUUACCUACC
rnacentral:rRNA from 2 species